rnacentral:tRNA from 1 species
GAGUAUAUAGCUCAGUGGUAGAGCAUGUGCUUGGCAUGCAUGAGGUCCUAGGUUUAAUACCCAGUACCUCCA